rnacentral:rRNA from 1 species
GACGAACCGUGCGAACGUUGUUCGGAAUCACUGGGCUUAAAGGGCGCGUAGGCGGACCGUCAAGUCAGGGGUGAAAUCCCACGGCUCAACCGUGGAAGUGCCUUUGAUACUGACGGUCUCGAGGGAGGUAGGGGCGUGCGGAACUUCCGGUGGAGCGGUGAAAUGCGUAGAUAUCGGAAGGAACGCCGGUGGCGAAAGCGGCGCGCUGGACCUCUUCUGACGCUGAGGCGCGAAAGCCAGGGGAGCAAACGGG